ensembl:lncRNA
AUGGGCUUGCAGGGAGUCAUCAAGGCUCUAAAGAUACCCAUCUCGCCAACAAGGCCUGUGCCCCAAGGAGGGUGCCCACCAUGCUCGGUGUCCCAGCCGGUCCUGCAGGGUGCUGCUGGCCUGGGGUUGGGGUGCCAAGGGGCUGUGUGGGUGCAGGGCAGUGGGAGGGCUGCUGCUGGGGACUUGCACCUGAGCCCAGUCCCCAAGGCCACCCUGAACACCAGGCUCGGGGCCGCCCAGGCCAAGGGCUGGGGUUCAUCUUGGCAACUUCAGUGCCCAGCCCUGGGCAGGCAUAAAGUGGACACUCCCAGGUCCAGACAGGCACCACCACCUUCCCUGGGGUGCUGGGAGCAAGGGGAUGUUGUUCACAGGGGCACAGAAGCCAGGUGCCAGUGGCCGCACCACCUAGGCUGGUACAACCGCCGGAGACUGGACAGACCAGUGGCCCCUAUGUCUGGACAUGGAGUUGGGUCUGUCACCUGUCAGGCUGGGAGCCCUACAGUGAGCACAUCCCUCCAUCCCAUCCCUGUGUCCCCGCCUCCCCCACGGCCACCCCCUCCCCUGUGCCGUUCGAGUCCUCAGCCCAUGGAGCCCCUGCUGGUGUCCCGUGACCGGGAGAGAAUUUGCACAUGGGGUGCGGGCUCACACGGCCUCAUCCUAGUUCGUGCUCUCGCCCAACCAUGUUUUAGGAUCCAUCCGAGGGGCUCUCUGCACAUCUGGCCCCUCCAGAACAUUCCAGAACAUGCCCUGCCCUGGCGGUGUCCUCUGCAGGGACUCCCCCUCCCUAGCUCUGAGCUGCAUGACUUCCUCUUGUGCCACCUGGUGUGCUGCGGAGGCACUGCUGGCCGGGCCCCGGGGGCCUCAGAUGCUUGGGCUGUGGCCGGCUCCAGCACUGGCCCUGGGAUCCCAAGGGUUCCUGGGGGGCUCCUCACCCCCGGAUUCACUCAGAGCCCUCUGCCUCCAACUUGUGCCUGUGGGCAUGGGCUGAAGACUGGUGUUGUGACGUACAGGUCUCUGAUAUUGGUGAGACCGGCCUUCCCCAUACACUUGGCCUUGGCUGCUGGGUCUCCGUGA